rnacentral:rRNA from 1 species
CCUACGGGAGGCAGCAGUGGGGAAUAUUGCACAAUGGGGGAAACCCUGAUGCAGCGACGCCGCGUGAGUGAAGAAGUAUUUCGGUAUGUAAAGCUCUAUCAGCAGGGAAGAAAAUGACGGUACCUGAUUAAGAAGCCCCGGCUAACUACGUGCCAGCAGCCGCGGUAAUACGUAGGGGGCAAGCGUUAUCCGGAUUUACUGGGUGUAAAGGGAGCGUAGACGGCAGCACAAGUCUGGAGUGAAAUGCCGGGGCUUAACCCCGGAACUGCUUUGGAAACUGUGCAGCUAGAGUGGAGGAGAGGGUAGUGGAAGUCCUUGGGUAGCGGUGAAAUGCGGAGAUAUUAGGAGGAACACCAGUGGCGAAGGCGGCUUACUGGACUGUAACUGACGUUGAGGCUCGAAAGCGUGGGGAGCAAACAGGAUUAGAUACCCUUGUAGUC